AUGGAAAGAGUCCAAAUGGCCAGUCAACAAAAAGAAAAAUAUCUGGUGAUUCUCAUUAUAGCAUCAGGUGUUAUCUGUCAAGAUCGAAUUGGACCCAGUGGCGAGAGGACCAGUGUUAUCAGUACAGAAGGAGAUUCUGUGACACUCGAGUGUUCAUACGAUUCAAGCAGCAGCUAUGUUCGCCUUUACUGGUACAGACAGUUUAACACACAGCCUCAAUUUGUGCUGGUGAAAGGUGGACGAUCAGAGACAUAUAAGAACAUACCAGACCCUCGAUUUGAAUCAACUACAUCUCAGACAUCCACCUCACUGACUAUUAAAAGUGUGACUCUGUCAGAUUCAGCUCUCUAUUAUUGUUCUCUAGCAGCAGCAGCCCAGUGA